CUUUUCAACAACAACAAGUGAUACCAGGCGAAAAAGGUGCAAAUAAUACACAAGUAUUUUAGGUGUAUGGGUAAUACUCUUACUCGUAAAUAAAAAACAAUGUGCUGGUGAUUGUAAUUAGCAAAACGGUGAGAACGAAGAUGCUAGAGUUGGGCGCGAUCAUCAACCGGCCAUCGCAGAAGAAUCUGUUCCGUCCAGCGAACAUUUCCCAUUUUCUUGUGAUUUGCCUCUUGGUCAUUUUCACCCUAACGCGUGUUACACGGUUACAACCUGUGUGAUGCGUUUGCUGCUCGUGUGACUCACGCAAAUUUCGAGUUGUAAAAGUAAACAAUAUUGGGUGGAGGUGUGAUGCAGAAAUGAAUAAACUGGUAGAGUUGGUUGUAGAAA